CCUACGGGAGGCAGCAGUGGGGAAGAUUGCACAAUGGGGGAAACCCUGAUGCAGCGACGCCGCGGGAGUGAAGAAGUAUCUCGGUACGUAAAGCUCUAACAGCAGGGAAGAAAAUGACGGUACCUGACUAAGAAGCCCCGGCUAACUACGUGCCAGCAGCAGCGGUAAGACGUAGGGGGCAAGCGUUAUCCGGAUUUACUGGGUGUAAAGGGAGCGGAGACGGCAGCACAAGUCUGGAGUGAAAUCCCGGGGCUUAACCCCGGAACUGCUUUGGAAAAUGUGCGGCUGGAGUGCAGGAGGGGUAAGCGGAAUUCCUAGUGUAGCGGCGAAAUGCGUAGAUAUCACGAAGAACUCCGAUUGCGAAGGCAGCUUACUAAACUGCCACUGACAUUGAUGCUCGAAAGUGUGGGUAUCAAACAGGAUUAGAUACCCGAGUAGUC
rnacentral:rRNA from 1 species